UGGCAACAGGUCAACAGAGCAGCGUCAGAGCAGGAGAAGAGUUAUCCGACUAUCUUUCGUGCUUAGUCAGGAUGGCGUGUUUCCGUGGCAACCGGGAAGAUUUCUAUGGAGAAGUGCUCCUAUUGGACGACAGGAAGCUCUGCCUGACGUCAGAGCAGGGCAUCAAAAAGUCUUCCAAGGCGGCGGCCAUCUUGCGGCUCGUGUUUUUUCACCUAAAAAUCGCACAAGUCGAAUUAUUCGGUUUGAGAUUCUGCGACAGAAACCAGCAGACGGUAAUGGAGAACAUAUUUAACAACUACUGCGUCUCUUUUACAAAUGACUUAGUUUAGGAAAAGGGACCACAUUACUCCUGUUCUGGCUGCCUUACACUGGCUCCCUAUAGAACACAGGAUAGA